rnacentral:rRNA from 1 species
UACGAAGGGGGCUAGCGUUGCUCGGAAUGACUGGGCGUAAAGGGCGCGUAGGCGGACGGCUUUGUCGGGCGUGAAAUUCCAGGGCUAAACCUUGGGGCUGCGUUCGAGACGGGUUGUCUAGAGUUUGGAAGAGGGUCGUGGAAUUCCCAGUGUAGAGGUGAAAUUCGUAGAUAUUGGGAAGAACACCGGUGGCGAAGGCGGCGACCUGGUCCUUGACUGACGCUGAGGCGCGAAAGCGUGGGGAGCAAACAGG